UACAGAGGCCCCAAGCGUUACUGAGAAUCACUGGGUUUAAAGGGUGCGUAGGUGGCGCGUUAAGUCCGUUGUGAAAGCCCUGGGCUCAACCCAGGAACUGCUUCGGAUACUGGCGCGCUUGAGGCUAGUAGGGGUCACUGGAACUGACGGUGGAGCGGUGAAAUGCGUAGAUAUCGUCAGGAACGCCAAUGGUGAAGACAGGUGACUGGGCUAGUUCUGACACUGAGGCACGAAAGCGUGGGGAGCGAACAGG
rnacentral:rRNA from 1 species